GACGAACGCUGGCGGCGUGCCUAAUACAUGCAAGUAGAACGCACAGUUUAUACCGUAGCUUGCUACACCAUAGACUGUGAGUUGCGAACGGGUGAGUAACGCGUAGGUAACCUGCCUGGUAGCGGGGGAUAACUAUUGGAAACGAUAGCUAAUACCGCAUAAUAUUAAUUAUUGCAUGAUAAUUAAUUGAAAGGUGCAAUUGCACCACUACCAGAUGGACCUGCGUUGUAUUAGCUAGUAGGUGAGGUAACGGCUCACCUAGGCGACGAUACAUAGCCGACCGGAGAGGGUGAUCGGCCACACUGGGACUGAGACACGGCCCAGACUCCUACGGGAGGCAGCAGUAGGGAAUCUUCGGCAAUGGACGAAAGUCUGACCGAGCAACGCCGCGUGAGUGAAGAAGGUUUUCGGAUCGUAAAGCUCUGUUGUAAGAGAAGAAAGGGUGUGAGAGUGGAAAGUUCACACUGUGACGGUAUCUUACCAGAAAGGGACGGCUAACUACGUG
rnacentral:rRNA from 1 species